CAUAGGAGGAGAGAGAGAGAUGAACAACAUAGGAGGAGAGAGAGAUGAACAACAUAGGAGGAGAGAGAGAUGAACAACAUAGGAGGAGAGAGAGAUGAACAACAUAGGAGGAGAGAGAGAUGAACAACAUAGGAGGAGAGAGAGAUGAACAACAUAGGAGGAGAGAGAGAUGAACAACAUAGGAGGAGAGAGAGAUGAACAACAUAGGAGGAGAGAGAGAUGAACAACAUAGGAGGAGAGAGAGAUGAACAACAUAGGAGGAGAGAGAGAGAUGAACAACAUAGGAGGAGAGAGAGAGAUGAACAACAUAGGAGGAGAGAGAGAUGAACAACAUAGGAGGAGAGAGAGAGAUGAACAACAUAGGAGGAGAGAGAGAGAUGAACAACAUAGGAGGAGAGAGAGAGAUGAACAACAUAGGAGGAGAGAGAGAUGAACAACAUAGGAGGAGAGAGAGAGAUGAACAACAUAGGAGGAGAGAGAGAGGUGAACAACAUAGGAGGAGAGAGAGAUGAACAACAUAGGAGGAGAGAGAGAGAUGAACAACAUAGGAGGAGAGAGAGAGGUGAACAACAUAGGAGGAGAGAGAGAUGAACAACAUAGGAGGAGAGAGAGAGAUGAACAACAUAGGAGGAGAGAGAGAGAUGAACAACAUAGGAGGAGAGAGAGAGAUGAACAACAUAGGAGGAGAGAGAGAGAUGAACAACAUAGGAGGAGAGAGAGAUGAACAACAUAGGAGGAGAGAGAGAGAUGAACAACAUAGGAGGAGAGAGAGAUGAACAACAUAGGAGGAGAGAGAGAUGAACAACAUAGGAGGAGAGAGAGGAG